CGGGUACAAUUGAGACAGGUGGUGCAUGGUUGUCGUCAGCUCGUGUCGUGAGAUGUUGGGUUAAGUCCCGCAACGAGCGCAACCCUUGUGUUUAGUUGCAAACAGGUCAAGCUGUGCACUCUAGACAGACUGCCGUGGACAACACGGAGGAAGGUGGGGAUGACGUCAAAUCAUCAUGCCCCUUAUGAUCUGGGCUACACACGUGCUACAAUGGCCGGUACAACGGGCAGCGAAGGAGCGAUCCGGAGCGAAUCCUAAAAAGCCGGUCCCAGUUCGGAUUGCAGGCUGAAACUCGCCUACAUGAAGUUGGAGUUGCUAGUAAUCGCGAAUCAGAAUGUCGCGGUGAAUACGUUCCCGGGCCUU
rnacentral:rRNA from 1 species